GAUGAAGAACGCAGCGAAAUGCGAUAAGUAAUGUGAAUUGCAGAAUUCAGUGAAUCAUCGAAUCUUUGAACGCAUCUUGCGCUCCUUGGUAUUCCAUGGAGCAUGCCUGUUUGAGUGUCACGUAAACCUCACACCAGUGAUGUCAAAGUCUCUGGAAGUGGAUUUGGACUGUGCCGUAGUUGGCUCGUCCUGAAAUACAUUAGCCUGCGUUUUUUAGCGUGCUCGGCAUGGUGUGAUAAUUAUCUGCGCCGUCGCCUUAGGCCGCUUCUAUAUGCGCUGCUUAUAAUCGUCCCUUGCGGACAGACACUAUAAAGCUCUGGCCUCAAAUCAGGUAGGAUUACCCGCUGAACUUAAGCAUAUCAAUAAGCGGAGGA
rnacentral:misc_RNA from 1 species